GUUGUGGCUCAGGGAUUGAGCACUUGCCUCGAAUGCAGGAGAAACUGGGUUUGAUCCCAGCACAACA
rnacentral:tRNA from 1 species